UACGGGGGGUGCGAGCGUUGUCCGGAAUCACUGGGCGUAAAGGGCGCGUAGGUGGCCCGACAAGUCUGUGGUGAAAGCUCGAUGCUCAACAUCGAGUCGGCCAUAGAUACUGUUGGGCUGGAGCACUGUAGAGGCAGAUGGAAUUCCGGGUGUAGCGGUGAAAUGCGUAGAGAUUUGGAAAGAACACCGAUGGGCGAAGGCACUUUUACUGGGCUAUUCUAACACUCAGAGACGAAAAGCUAGGGUAGCAAACGGG
rnacentral:rRNA from 1 species